GCGCAGGCUGUAUCAAGCGGGCGCGACGGGGAUGGAGGACAUGGGAGUUUUCCCGCUUUCUUCCCAUGGCCAACGAAACGGCAGGCGAGCUCCCCACCCGUCCAGCCU
rnacentral:sRNA from 1 species